AAACUUGAGAGUUUGAUCCUGGCUCAGAACGAACGCUGGCGGCAGGCUUAACACAUGCAAGUCGAGCGCCCCGCAAGGGGAGCGGCAGACGGGUGAGUAACGCGUGGGAAUCUACCUAUCUCUACGGAACAACUCCGGGAAACUGGAGCUAAUACCGUAUACGCCCUUCGGGGGAAAGAUUUAUCGGAGAUGGAUGAGCCCGCGUUGGAUUAGCUAGUUGGUGGGGUAAAGGCCUACCAAGGCGACGAUCCAUAGCUGGUCUGAGAGGAUGAUCAGCCACAUUGGGACUGAGACACGGCCCAAACUCC
rnacentral:rRNA from 1 species